CAAAAGUGCAAGCUAAAAUAUUAACCUGUUAAUUGGUUAAUAGUUAUAAGGCCUAAUGACACCUUUGAAUCAAAAGAUAUACUGUAUUCUGCUUCAUUUUGCAACAAUACUAGGAGGUAAGAAACACUGACUAUUUCCUGGGUGUCAGGUACACAGUACCUUAUUUCAUCUAAUCCAUGGUCAGCUCCUCUUUGGCUCUCGGUACUGAGGAUGAGUUCUGGUCCCAGAGACCAGAGACAGCAGAGAAGACACAAAGUAACCACAGGCCUUUUUCCAUUUCAGUUGGUAAUACACCUCUUCGUUAUGAGAGUUAAUGCAAAUGAGCACAAUCUAAAUGAAGCCCCGCGGAAUUACUCAGAAAGGGGAAGGCAAUGCAAGAUUUCCAAAGGAGUCUUGCAGAGAGAAACAGGAGAGCCCUGGGUGGUAAUAGCUAUCUCAUUUCCUGCUAGCACUUUCUCGCCACAUCACACCACUUCUCUGUUUUUCUGCUUUAUCAAUCAGUAAAAUGAGAGCCUCAAGACAAUAAGGCCCAUGGCCCAGAGAUCAUGAUUAACUGCAAGAUUCAAAAUCAGCUGCAAGAGAACGAAGCUGUCACAUGGGUUUCUAAAGAAUAUUUGCCUCUUUCACUAAAGGGAGAAUGAAGGUUGCUUAACCUCUCUGUGAAAUAAGUUUCAGUUCCUCUUCUAUGAAUGACUGGCUAAACUUCAUUUUCUCUAAGACCCUCUAGUAUUCAGUUCUCUUCCCACCUGCUUGGCCUAAUCCUGCAUGAGAGGCAAUGAUUGAUCUCAGGCAUGUGCUACUCGCUUUCUGGGUACUCUAGAAAUAAUCACAUAGGCCCUUUUGUUUGGCAUGUAAAAAUCCAGUUCUGUCUAAUAGAUUCUUAACCAGUCGAGUUCCAUCUAAGUAGAAUGCUUCUCUCCUACCCUAGCUUGCUCUGUUUCCAUUCAGACGCCUCUCUGUGGGAGGGCCUGCUUCCUUCCCUGGACCUUUGCAUAUCCCAUACCAGGAGCUGUGAAC
rnacentral:lncRNA from 1 species